rnacentral:rRNA from 1 species
UACGUAGGUGGCAAGCGUUGUUCGGAAUUACUGGGCGUAAAGCGCGUGUAGGCGGCCCUGCAAGUCGGAUGUGAAAUCCCACGGCUCAACCGUGGAAGUGCAUUCGAAACUGCAGGGCUAGAGUCCUGGAGAGGAAGGUGGAAUGCUUGGUGUAGAGGUGAAAUUCGUAGAUAUCAAGCGGAACACCGGUGGCGAAGGCGGCCUUCUGGACAGUGACUGACGCUGAGACGCGAAAGCGUGGGGAGCAAACAGG